rnacentral:lncRNA from 12 species
GCUCGCUGGGUUUCCUUCGUCCUUUUCUCUCACCCUGCAAGGUUGUGAGCUCUAUUUGGGGUAAUAGGGUGGCCUGGACCUCUGGCCUCCUGCAUGUAGUUAUGGUGGCAUGGGUAAAGGGGGAGUCUGUCCAUGUCCUCACAGCGUGACUCAGAAGUACAGACUUGUGAGAACUGGGAUACAGAGUUGGUGGACUCUCCCCUUGAUGGGAGACACACUUAAUGUGCCAUCCUGAAACAGCCUUGGGAUCUUUACAGUUGUUGAAAAUCCUCUAGACAGAGAGCCGGGAGCUUCUGCCAUCAUUCAGACAUGCUGGUUUCAGGCUGCCACACAUCUGGUUUUACCCUCUUGCAUUUUUCAAUCUGUAGCUUGAAGACUGGUCUCUGCUACUCCACCCCUAACUUGGGUGUGGCGUUGCGUGCAGUGUGUACGUGCAUAUGUGUGCAGGCACGUGUUUAGGACUUGACUGCUGUCUCAGCAACUGUAGGACCAUGUGCACACAUUUUACCUUCUCUACCCAUUCAGGCAAGUUAUAGCUAGCUCUUUGUUAAGAGUAUUUUGAGAAUGUCACCUCAUGAUGCUUGGGCCCACGUUGAGACAACUCCAGCCAUGUCGCAAAACCAGGGCAUGAGGGACUCAUCUUUGAAAAGACAUGAAGGUUUUGAGAGACAGGGUUCCACAGAACCCACUUUGGAAAACAGCCCCAACAGGACAGGAAGUCUGGAAGGAAGUGACACUGUGAGGACCAGGAAGGUGCUAACUCCACCUCCUACAGCCUCCCCACCCCAGCCCUGGAGACUACUCUCAUGGGAGAGAAAAGGUGGGGUGCUCCAUCAAAUGAGGACCCCUCAGUGCAGUAGCCUCGAGCCUGGAACUGUACUGGACCUGCCCCAUGCACUCAGCCAAUGCCGACUGAAUGAACACACUCCUGAGCUCCAAGCCUUGUGACGCCACCAAGUCUCCAGUAGCAGGGUCCAGGAACUGGCUGCCUAGACUAGCAGCUCACAGAGGGUUGGGGGGAGGGCCACCCCUGUUCAGG